rnacentral:rRNA from 1 species
UACGUAGGGUGCAAGCGUUAAUCGGAAUUACUGGGCGUAAAGCGUGCGCAGGCGGCUUUACAAGACAGAUGUGAAAUCCCCGGGCUUAACCUGGGAACUGCAUUUGUGACUGCAUGGCUGGAGUGCGGCAGAGGGGGAUGGAAUUCCGCGUGUAGCAGUGAAAUGCGUAGAUAUGCGGAGGAACACCGAUGGCGAAGGCAAUCCCCUGGGCCUGCACUGACGCUCAUGCACGAAAGCGUGGGGAGCAAACAGG